CACGCACGCCUUCCUUCACCGUAGGACACCCAUCCUUUGCCGUUCUUCCACUUACCACGGUGACUAACUGUGUGGGGAGGCACAGAGGAGGAACAGUCAGGAGCUCACAGAUGACGGGGCCUCAUGCCUACCCAUCAAACACCAGCCCAGGGCCCGUUCCUGUCCCCAGGGCACCUUGAGACCAGCCGCAAGCUUUGCAGUGGGGAGUCUGGCUUUCCUCUCCAGGAAAUGAAGUGACCUCCUUUCUCUUCCCA